CGUACGGGUGAGUAACGCGUGGGUAAUCUACCUUCGAAUUGGGGAUAACGUUGCGAAAGUGACGCUAAUACCGGAUAAUAUCAUAAGGACUUUGGUUUUUAUGAUCAAAGAUGGCCUCUCCUUGGAAGCUAUUGUUUGAAGAUGAGCCCGCGUCCCAUUAGCUUGUUGGUGGGGUAAUGGCCUACCAAGGCAGCGAUGGGUAGCUGGUCUGAGAGGAUGAUCAGCCACACUGGAACUGACACACGGUCCAGACUCCUACGGGAGGCAGCAGUGAGGAAUUUUGCGCAAUGGGGGAAACCCUGACGCAGCAACGCCGCGUGAGUGAUGAAGGCUUUCGGGUCGUAAAGCUCUGUCAAGUGGGAAGAACUUUCAUGGGGUUAAUAUCCUCAUGUUUUGACGGUACCACUGAAGGAAGCACCGGCUAACUCCGUGCCAGCAGCCGCGGUAAUACGGGGGGUGCAAGCGUUAUUCGGAUUUACUGGGCGUAAAGCGCGCGUAGGCGGCCGUUUAAGUCAGAUGUGAAAGCCCGGGGCUCAACCCCGGAAGUGCAUUUGAUACUAUUCGGCUUGAGUAUGGGAGAGGGAAGUGGAAUUCCUGGUGUAGAGGUGAAAUUCGUAGAUAUCAGAGGAACACCGGUGGCGAAGGCGACUUCCUGGACCAAUACUGACGCUGAGGCGCGAAAGGCGUGGGGAGCAAACAGGAUUAGAUACCCUGGUAGUCCACGCAGUAAACGGUGAUCACUAGGUGUAGCGGGUAUUGACCCCUGCUGUGCCGCAGCUAACGCAUUAGUGAUC
rnacentral:rRNA from 1 species